CUGAGGACUAAUUCGUCUGCCCCACCCCCACCCCCACCCCCCCGCUUCGUGGCGACUUCCAGCCUGUGACGACUGGUGUGGACGUCGUCGAGUCACCCUGGCCUAGAGAGACUCCUUUGCCAGCCUGACGUUCUAAAUCUGCCAAAUGGGGAUAUAGGACAAGCUCAAGGAACAGUUGUGUUGGUAAAUAAAUCUAUUCACGGAUCUAAUAAAAAGUGUACUGAGUGCCUACACUGCUAGGCUUCUGCGGUCCAAGGAACAAAGGAGAACCAGGCACCCCCAGAGAAUCCCUCGCCAGCCCUGGACUCUGUGUCGGCGCACAGGCUCUGGAAUUCCAAUCUCAACGCUAUCACUGAGGAACCGUGGCCGUGGGACAAGGCAUUAAUUACAUCUCUCUAAGCCUCAGUUUUGUCCUCUGCAAAAUGGUUUAGCAUUCAAUGAAAUAAAAUAUGC